rnacentral:rRNA from 1 species
GACGAACGCUGGCGGCGUGCCUAAUACAUGCAAGUAGAACGCUGAAGGAGGAGCUUGCUUCUCUGGAUGAGUUGCGAACGGGUGAGUAACGCGUAGGUAACCUGCCUGGUAGCGGGGGAUAACUAUUGGAAACGAUAGCUAAUACCGCAUAAUAGCAGUUGUUGCAUGACAACUGUUUGAAAGGUGCAAUUGCACCACUACCAGAUGGACCUGCGUUGUAUUAGCUAGUUGGUGGGGUAACGGCUCACCAAGGCGACGAUACAUAGCCGACCUGAGGGGGUGAUCGGCCACACUGGGACUGAGACACGGCCCAGACUCCUACGGGAGGCAGCAGUAGGGAAUCUUCGGCAAUGGACGGAAGUCUGACCGAGCAACGACGCGUGAGUGAAGAAGGUUUUCGGAUCGUAAAGCUCUGUUGUAAGAGAAGAACGAGUGUGAGAGUGGAAAGUUCACACUGUGACGGUAUCUUACCAGAAAGAGACGGCUAACUACGUG